ACGGGUGAGUAACACGUGGGCAAUCUGCCCUUCACUCUGGGACAAGCCCUGGAAACGGGGUCUAAUACCGGAUAUCACUUCCGCAGGCAUCUGUGGGGGUUGAAGGCUCCGGCGGUGAAGGAUGAGCCCGCGGCCUAUCAGCUUGUUGGUGAGGUAAUGGCUCACCAAGGCGACGACGGGUAGCCGGCCUGAGAGGGCGACCGGCCACACUGGGACUGAGACACGGCCCAGACUCCUACGGGAGGCAGCAGUGGGGAAUAUUGCACAAUGGGCGAAAGCCUGAUGCAGCGACGCCGCGUGAGGGAUGACGGCCUUCGGGUUGUAAACCUCUUUCAGCAGGGAAGAAGCGAAAGUGACGGUACCUGCAGAAGAAGCGCCGGCUAACUACGUGCCAGCAGCCGCGGUAAUACGUAGGGCGCAAGCGUUGUCCGGAAUUAUUGGGCGUAAAGAGCUCGUAGGCGGUCUGUCGCGUCGGAUGUGAAAGCCCGGGGCUUAACCCCGGGUCUGCAUUCGAUACGGGCAGACUAGAGUGUGGUAGGGGAGAUCGGAAUUCCUGGUGUAGCGGUGAAAUGCGCAGA
rnacentral:rRNA from 1 species